rnacentral:rRNA from 1 species
CGUGUAGGCGGGAGUACAAGUCAGAUGUGAAAUACCGAGGCUUAACCUCGGGGCUGCAUCUGAAACUGUGUUUCUUGAGUGUCGGAGAGGAAAGUGGAAUUCCCAGUGUAGCGGUGAAAUGCGUAGAUAUUGGGAGGAACACCAGUGGCGAAGGCGACUUUCUGGACGAUAACUGACGCUGAGGCGCGAAAGCGUGGGGAGCAAACAGGAUUAGAUACCCUGGUAGUCCACGCUGUAAACGAUGGAUACUAGGUGUAGGAGGUAUCGACCCCUUCUGUGCCGGAGUUAACACAAUAAGUAUCCCACUGGGGAGUACGGCCGCGAAGGUUGAA